CCCUUCCAAAUACCGACAUUCUGCAAAACUAGAACCGGCUCCUUAUUCACUGCGGCGGCCAGGGUGGCGCUUCUGAGCUCCAUUUCUUAACCCUAUAUCAAUUACCUCUCUAUUUAUAUGUGUUUCGUCUAAUUACUUAGGGUUUUUGUUGUGAAAAUGUCUUCUUUGAGGAAUGCUCUCCCGAGAAAAGCUCACAAGGAGCGUUCACAGCCGCAAUCGAGGAAGAAAUUUGGGUUGCUCGAGAAGCAUAAGGAUUAUGUCGAGCGUGCACGCUCCUUCCACCGAAAAGAGGAGACAUUGCAAAAACUUAAAGAAAAGGCGGCGUUUAGGAAUCCCGAUGAGUUCUACUUCAAGAUGAUUAACUCCAAAACUGUUAAUGGAGUUCACAGACAGGAGGGUGAAGCGAACAAGUACUCUAAGGAAGAGCUCAUGUUGAUGAAGACGCAAGAUAUUGGAUAUAUUUUGCAGAAACUUCAGGCUGAGAAAAAGAAAAUCGAAAAGCUAAAUGCUAUGCUGCACUCUGUUGAUAAUCGGGCAUCAUCCCAACAUGUAUACUUUGCUGAAGAUAGGGCUGAAGCGAGAGAAAUUCGAGCUCAGAAGCCUGAACACAGAGAAAACCCUUCUUUUGAAGACUUGCCAAAGGAUAUUAAGAGGAAGACAACUGGUUCAUACCGCGAGCUAGAGGCUAGAAGAAGCCGAGUUAAAGAGCUAGAGAAGAUAUACAUGGAUAUGGCAAUGCAGAAAGAAUUACAGAAAAAGGGCCGGAAACGGAAACUUCGUGAGGAUGAAAUUGUUUGUCCAACGUCAAGACCUGUAUUCAAAUGGAGGCAGGAAAGAAAACGCUGAGGGAAAGAGAGAGGGGUGAAGCUCAUAUUAAUGUGUGCUAAUUCAGAAACAACAUAACAAGUGAUGAGUAAUUCAUCGAAUUUUUGCUGUAGUAAAUUUCAGAAAAUAAAUAUUGUGAGUGUAAAACCUAGUUUCACUAC